AUGGAGCGCAAGAGGCUGGCUGGGCUCCAGAUAAAAAAGAGGGUCAAGGCGCAGUAUUUGAACGGCAAGUUUUACGAUCUCAUGGGCAAGGUGGUGGCUAGUGCCAAUACGUUGGAGGAUGCUUAUGACAUUGUCCGGCUGAAUUCUAAUGUCGAUCUGGCGUCUGCAAGGGACGAUGUUUGCUUUAUCACAUUGGCGGAGCAGGUCAGAAGAGGAGAGUUUGAUAUCACUGCGAAUUCUUUCUCAGUAGUGGCAAAGAGGCAAGGAGGAGAGCGCAUUGUUCUUCCACGUCUCAACUUGAAAGUUAUCCAGGAAGCAGUUAGGGUGGUGCUUGAGGUUGUUUACAGACCUCAGUUCUCCAAGAUAUCACAUGGCUGUCGCAGUGGGUGA
rnacentral:rRNA from 1 species